rnacentral:rRNA from 1 species
CCCUUAGAUGUCCGGGGCUGCACGCGCGCUACACUGAAGGAAUCAGCGUGCUACAACCAUUGUCGAAAGGCAUUGGUAAACCCAUUAAAAUCCUACGUGAUUGGGAUCGGGAAUUGCAAUUAUUUCCCUUGAACGAGGAAUUCCCAGUAAGUGUGGGUCAUAAGCUCGCGUUGAUUACGUCCCUGCCCUUUGUACACACCGCCCGUCGCUGCCCGGGACUGAGCCGUUUCGAGAAAAGCGGGGACUGCUGCUGUCGGGGCUUUCGGGCCUUGGCUUCGGUGGAAACCGCUUUAAUCGCAGUGGCUUGAACCGGGCAAAAGUCGUAACA